rnacentral:lncRNA from 1 species
GGGAGUCGAGCUCCGACGAGCACCACGUCUCUGACACCGGCGGUAACCUACACCUGCAGAGACACAAACACCUUAUUAUGGCAUAUGGAUUCAUAUCAUAAACUAAAGCUCAAUGUCAUUCACGGAUAUUUACGGCUGCAUUGACAGAUAUAUCCUCAGCAUAUUCAUUUCUGCCUCCACAAAAGCAGCGAUUUCCUACAAGUACACCAUUUUUUUUCCCCGUGGAAAAGACGUAUUUCUCAUAUAUUCUUUUUUAAGUCUUUAUACUUAUGACAAUGUGAUGCUGAUGCUGAAAAAAACAUGAUUGUCUUGUGUGUCCACAUGGCUCACGGGAUAAGGAGACUGACUGGGACUCCUGAGGUGGUGUGUUUGAGCCUUUUUUGGGACAAGGUGAAUGUUGAAGUCUAGUGUCUAGACAGUAAAGUGAAAGAGGAAACAAAUGGUAUAAUCCUGUGUGUCCAAGUGGCUCAGGGGAUAAGAACACUGACUGUGACUCCUGAGGUCACAGGUUCAAGUCUUACCUUGCCCACUUCUUGGUGAAUUUUGAAGGUCUAGAGUCCAAAAAGUACAGUGAUAUAUGAAAAAAAAACACAUUUCUCUUGUGUGUCCACAUGGCUCACGGGAUAAGGAGACUGACUGGGACUCCUGAGGUGGUGUGUUCGAGCCUUUUUUGGGACAAGGUGAAUGUUGAAGUCUAGUGUCUAAACAAGAAAGUGAAAGAGGAAACAAAUGGUAUAAUCCUGUGUGUCCAAGUGGCUCAGGGGAUAAGAACACUGACUGGAACUCCAGAGGUCACAGGUUCAAGUCUUACCUUACCUAGUUUUUGGUGAAUUUUGAAGUUUCUAGAGUCUAAAAAGUACAGUGAUAUAUGAAAAGAAAAACACAUUUCUCUUGUGUGUCCACAUGUCUCACAGGAUAAGGAGACUGACUGGUACUCCUGAGGUGGUGUGUUCGAGCCUUUUUUGGGACAAGGUGAAUUUUGAAGUCUAGUGUCU